UGCCACAUACUUUUCGCAGCAGGAGAAGAAACUCUUCCUUUUUUACUUCCCCUCACACUUCUAAAUUUCUAUUUAAAGCUUUUGAAUUGUUAGUUUGUAAACUAUCUAAUCUAAUGCCUUCUUUAGCUUUAUCUGAUCUCAAAGCAAAGAAAGAAGAGAAAAAGAUGAAGAAGAAGAUUGCUCUCGAAACUCCAGAAACCGAGAAGAAGAUGAAGAAGCUGAAGGAGCCGAGGCUAAAAGAGGAGGACAAUGAUUCGGAGUUGAAGAAGAGUAGGAAGAAGCGAAAGGCUUCGGAGCUCCAGUUGGAAGAGGAGGAGAGGAGCGAGACGAGCUCGGAUCUCGUUGAGCCGGUGAAUGGGAACGAGAAUAAGAAGAGAAAGAAACCGAAGGUGGAGGAAGAGGAAGAGGAAGAGGAAGAUGAAGGGAAAAGUGAGGAUCCAAAUGCUAUUUCGAGGUUUCGGAUUUCGGAAGCAGUUAGAGAGAAGCUGAAGUCGAAAGGGAUUGAGUCGUUGUUUCCGAUUCAGGCCAUGACUUUUGAUAUUGUUCUUGAUGGCACUGACUUGGUUG
rnacentral:lncRNA from 1 species